rnacentral:rRNA from 1 species
CAGCAGCCGCGGUAAUACGUAGGUGGCGAACGUUGUCCGGAUUCACUGGGCGUAAAGCGUGCGUAGGUGGUUCGUUAAGUCUGAUGUGAAAGCCCUGGGCUCAACCUGGGAAUUGCAUUGGAUACUGGCGGGCUAGAGUACGGUAGAGGGUGGCGGAAUUCCUGGUGUAGCAGUGAAAUGCGUAGAUAUCAGGAGGAACAUCCGUGGCGAAGGCGGCCACCUGGACCAGUACUGACACUGAGGCACGAAAGCGUGGGGAGCA